rnacentral:rRNA from 1 species
UGUUUCCAUGGAUGUAUUCUUAGCGGCGGACGGGUGAGUAACACGUGGGUAACCUGCCUCAAAGAGGGGGAUAGCCUUCCGAAAGGAAGAUUAAUACCGCAUAAGCUUACAGCAUCGCAUGAUGCCGUAAGAAAAGGAGCAAUCCGCUUUGAGAUGGACCCGCGGCGCAUUAGCUAGUUGGUGAGGUAACGGCUCACCAAGGCCACGAUGCGUAUCCGACCUGANAGGGUGAUCGGCCACAUUGGAACUGAGACACAGUCCAAACUCCUACGGGAGGCAGCAAUGGGGAAUAUUGCACAAUGGGCGAAAGCCUGAUGCACCAACGCCGCGUGAGUGAUGAAGGCUUUCGAGUCGUAAAGCUCUUUGAUCAGGGAUGAUAAUGACAAUACCUGAAAAACAAGCCACGGCUAACUAC